GUGAGGAAUAUUGGUCAAUGGGCGAGAGCCUGAACCAGCCAAGUCGCGUGAAGGAUGAAGGUUUUAUGAAUUGUAAACUUCUUUUGCAGGGGAAUAAAGUACGGUACGUGUACCGUUUUGUAUGUACUGUACGAAUAAGGAUCGGCUAACUCCGUGCCAGCAGCCGCGGUAAUACGGAGGAUCCGAGCGUUAUCCGGAUUUAUUGGGUUUAAAGGGUGCGUAGGUGGAUUGAUAAGUCAGCGGUGAAAGUUUGCAGCUUAACUGUAAAAUUGCCGUUGAAACUGUCGGUCUUGAGUGCAAAUGAGGUAGGCGGAAUGUGUUGUGUAGCGGUGAAAUGCUUAGAUAUAACACAGAACUCCGAUUGCGAAGGCAGCUUACUGGGAUGCAACUGACACUGAUGCACGAAAGCGUGGGUAUCAAACAGGAUUAGAAACCCGAGUAGUCC
rnacentral:rRNA from 1 species